CCAGUGGUUCACAUCCCAGAAUUGAGAUAGGAACAGGAUUUUGAAGAACAGAGAUCCAUUAAGAGCCUUACAUGGUUGGAGAUGUCCGUCAUGGAUGUCAAGAGGUGGAGGAGGAGGUGAUCUGGUACGACCUGAAGCUCAGUGUGUUAUUAAGGAACAGGUGGGGAUGGAACGAACCAAAGACAGGAGUGCUUGGACUCAAUUUUCUCAUACAUACCCAGGAUAUUAUCACAAAUAUCCUUAUGUGUGAUAAUUGUCAGUGCAAAUAGGAAGAGAGGAGGGUGAAGAGAGAGAAAAAGAGACAGAGAGAAAAUGCUUCCAUAAGCAGGUAAGA